rnacentral:rRNA from 1 species
UACGUAGGGGGCAAGCGUUGUCCGGAUUUAUUGGGCGUAAAGAGCGUGUAGGCGGCCAUACAGGUCAGCUGUGAAAACUCGAGGCUCAACCUCGAGACGUCGGUUGAAACCGUAUGGCUAGAGUCCGGAAGAGGAGAGUGGAAUUCCCGGUGUAGCGGUGAAAUGCGCAGAUAUCGGGAAGAACACCCGUGGCGAAGGCGGCUCUCUGGGACGGUACUGGACGCUGAGACGCGAAAAGCGUGGGGAGCGAACGAG